ensembl:lncRNA
AUUCUUUUGAAUUGAUGCAGGGAAUUGGAUGUUAAAUAGUUGUUUAGUGAUCGGAUUUAAAAACAUGUAAGUGCAUGCUGCACUUGCUGUAUGGGAAUCCUGGAGGAAAUGAAGAGUGAGAUGACAAGCUCAUCACAGCAAGAAAACACAGAGGUGUUUGACUUUGAGUGACCCCUUAAACAUCAGUCCCAGCUGGAGUUUUUUGUUUGUUUGUUUUUUGGGAUGAGGUGGGGUGGGGGGCUACCUUUACUCCCCCUUUUUAACAAUGCAGCUGUGUGUUUUCUGGAUGUGAUGCUGUAUUUCUUAUGUCUUGUCACCGUCUCUGUGCGGUGCGCAGAUGAGUAACACACCGAGGCCGACUGAGCUGAGCGCUGAUUUGAAAAAUGGGACCUGAUCUUCCUUGGCUUGCUUCGAACCAGCUUCCAGCCUAUUGAAUCAGUUGCGAUUCAUGCCAAUGAAUAUUGUAAUAAUUGCUCAUCUUGUGCUGGAAUAGGGAAUCACUAGAGGCCGCGAUGACAGAAUAGCAGAACUGUUACAAGUAGUCGAGGCAAAUUGCCAGCGUUCUUAUUCAGGACAUCGUUUAGUGUCCUAAUUGAAAAUUUGACAGUUUUAAGCACAGUUAAAACACAUUAUAUACUCUGUAAGGCAGUUUUGGAUGGUCUAAACUAUAAAUACAUGAAACACUCGUCUUCCAUUCUUGCCUAAUGAAUCUGAUCAAUGCUGCAUGUAAGAUCCUACAUAUUGGACUAGUAAAUCCAAUAUGACUAAAUAACACACACACACACACAAGUUCCCAAUGCAAAUGUUAAAGUCUUCCAUCCUAGACUCAGUACGGUCUCAGAUUAUGUAUUCAUGCAACAGUUGAUUAAUGACGGUUAUUAUUCAUGGAUUUCACUAUUUCUUGGAAGGCUUAGCUUCAGCGUAGAAGCUCAGAUAACCACGAGGGAGGAACAGAAAGGCAAGGAAAACAAAGAUGAAAGGUGGUGUAGGGCUUAACUGCCAGAAUUUAUACGCCGCCAUAUGUGAGCAGGUUUGUACUUGGAAGAUGAACGGUGGGUUGUUUGUUUUCCCGGAUUUCUGCCAGUGUUGGCAUCGCCGUAUUCUGACAGUCGCUCCUCUCGCCUCCCUCGAAAGGAUGGCACUCUCUCCUCUCAGUUUAUGAAGCACAGUUGUGUGAACUGUGUGUGACAAGUAGCAAGCUAGACAGGUAAAUCGUAGUCCUCUCCAGCAGCGCGCUCCCCCUACAUCCAUCUAACGGAGGAGGAUCGAGCACAAGGGGGAGGCCAUCUCCCUUCAUCUUCACCUUGUACAGAUGAAGAAAAAUGUAAUGCACUGCACAGUGGGGAAGAUUGGGACUCCACUCAGCAUGACGUUAGACUGGUUUGUUAGUUUCCACCAGUGACUGCUUUUUAGGCCUUUAAGAAUUGACAUAUAUUGAACAGAUUUGAUUAAACACUGAAAACAAUGAUGUAGAUUAGCCACUGCAGUUUUCAUGCGUAUAGGAUCCAGUUCCCAAAGGAGAGAUUAGGUAGUGAUGGAAAAAUCUGGAUGUAAGCUAUCUUUGUGAAUUUAAGAUUAAAUAAAUCACAGCUCCCUGAGCUGAGUCAGCUCUGCGUGCCAACACUUUCCUUCAUGUCCAUGUUUGCUUCAGGUCUAAUCGAGUUCCAUGCUGGAGGUGGGGGGUGCAGGUAGGAGAAUAAAUUGCUUAUUUAUUGAGGUGUAGGAAACUUAUUAUGGCUACAGUGUGAAGACAGAUUGGCUGGUCCACUGUGUGGUCACCUCAAGAACAUUCGUCUAUUCUGAAGGACAUUGAAAGAAGUCCGGAACAGUUCUUUGUCUGUAACUAUUCAAGGUAGUAAUUGUAGUGGCAAUGGAGGGCUUACUGUGACCAUAGGCUCUCUAGACAUCUGCUUCACUGUUGUUCCAUAUUUACAAGACUAUUAAGGGACUAACCACUGGUGUGAUGUCGGCUAUAACAGCUUUUUUCCUCUAGGUCAGAUAAGCUUAGAGUGCACUGGGUCACUAUUUGUUUUUUAGUUCAGUGUUGAUCUAGUAAUCGCUGCUUUAGAGAACAAAGUGCAACAUUAUAAACGAUACUGUGAGUUCUUUAACAAUUAAUGGGGAAAUAUACUGCACUAAAAUGAACUUUUUCCUUGUAGACUGUGUUUACUGAAUUGAAAAUGUUGAUGUACGUCUAAAAAUGUCUUGCUAGUAAACUUGAAAUCUUUGAGAAAAAUGAGUUAAUUAAAUGAGUUGGUCUUGGCAUUGUUGUGUUGUAUGGAUUUCUGAGUUACUGGAACUCACUACCUUUUGUUGAAGGAAGAAAACAGGGUACAUUUGUUCUGGUGAAGUGAACGCUUUGCUAUUUUACUUUUAACACAGAAUCAAUGCUGUCACCUAGAAAUGACAUUUAUAUGGUACUUAAUACUAAAAUGUUAUCUGAAAGGCCGAUUUUAUUGGUUGAUGUUGCAUAGUUUGUCCACUAGAGGGCGCGUCGCAACUUCCCUGUUGGCGGUACUGCCACACACGCAACAAGCAGCAGAUCCAAACAACAUCAGGCAGUGUGUAAAUGAGUAAACAACUACAUAUCAGCUGAUAUGAGUUUAUCAAAUUUAAAUCAGCAAUUUUGACUAUUGGUUUUAAGAAUUAAGAAUUCUAUAUCGUUCAGACGCUUGUAGAUGCUAGGUUGUUUUGUCUUUUUGUUUUGUUUGUCUUUGAAGGAGAAUACAUUAUGGUUAUAUACUAGAAUUGGCAAUCAGAUGUUCAAGGUGAACAGAUGGCAUACAAAACAACAGAAGAGCUAUUUUCCUUUCUGUUUUAGAGCUUUUAGUUGACUGCUGCUCAAACAGCUCUCACCUACAGUCCAAAUAGAAACCAGAGCUAAUAUUUACAUAUAUCAUAUCAGAACUAUAUAAAAGGACUAAUAUGGUCCCUUUAUAUGUAUAGACGCCUACAGCUACUACAUAUAAAAUGUGUUGCUAGAGACUGUGUUUUGCUUCAGUGUAGUUUCUAGGUGACAGGAUUGAAAUAAAUAUAUGUUGUUAUUUUAACUAUGUAGAAUGCAUACUGUUUACACCAGCAAAAGCAUAUGUAUAGGCAUAUUUAUAAUAUUUAACUCCUUGAUAUUUAACUCUAUUUAACUCGUUCACUGAUUGAGAAAACAAAUAUUCAGAACAAUCCUAAUGGACAUCUUAAGUGCAUAAACUGUGCAAAUUGUUACUAAAUCGAGGGAGGAAGUUGUUGCUUGUUAUCAGCGUAAAUAGUAAAUACUAACAGUCCUGAUAACCCCGAUACAGUCUUCCUGAUCUGUGCUCUCCAUUUUAUCGUACUGUUGCUUGUCUUUUCCUUUUCUGAGCGGAGACCUUACGUUGCUUUAACCACAAUGCUCUUCUCACAUCGCUCCACCGCUUCAUCUCCUCGAGCACUGUAUCAAAUGUAAUUCCAACUGUGAGUUUUAAAGUGUUUCUUUGGCUGUCGCACUGUUGAAUUUUAGCUUCGAGGGCAAAGUCCACGCUGUUGUUUCUGUGCACUCUCAUUCGCUUGCAACCCUCUCAUCUUCAUCUCACCCAUGAACAUCUUUCCUUUGGCAAGGGCUCUCAGUCUUUGGGUAGACAGGCACACAGUGGAAGAAUUAAAGAAAAAGAAAACACUGGAGGAAAUAACCUGAAACAACAACAAAAAUAAUAAGGAAGUCCCCAGAGAUAGAAAGAAAAAUGUGAACCAGCAAACCGGUGAACAAUCACACUCAGCUUGGAGAAGCGGCCUCCCCCUUGAGCUACAGUUUUGGACUGUGGAAGGAACCCUCAGUGACUCUACUUGGAUGGCACUUAGCUUUUGUUGACCCAGUGACUUUCCUCGAUACACUGACUCCUCUUUUUGUUAUGUGGGGAGGGGUUUUUUUGGACUGUGUAAGUGAGUUGUAGUUGUUGCUCUCCUCCUUUCUCUGUCUCUCCCUCUCUAUCUCCUCACCAGACUAUUUCUAGUUUCAUGUGUAAUCUACUUGAUGUUUGAUUACUUGAAGGGGCAGCGUUCAGUUGCCUAGAUUUUUCGAGCACUCUGUGUAAAAUGAAGGUGAUCUUUGUGUAAAUCUUUUCAUGGCUCGGGAUGAUGAUGAUGAUGAUAUGUACAGGGGGAAUGUUUUGAUACGUUUUUAUGGUCCUUCCACAGUCAAACAAGAUGAAGAAAUUGAAAGAAAAUCUAAGGCUCCAGAUUUUUUUUUUUGCAAAACUGUCCACCUACAUUUUCUCAGAAAUCUUGCUGAUAUGUCUUUGUCUGCAAGGAAAGAUAAAAAAGAAAAGAAAAGGGAAAAAAAAACAUUCGGGCCUCUAACCAUUCCUCAGCCAUAAGACAGGCAUUUUUUCUUUAUGCUGUUUGUUGCACAAAACUUUCAAAAAGCCUUC